rnacentral:rRNA from 1 species
AGUGCAUGUGGUGGAUGCCUUGGCGAUCACAGGCGAUGAAGGACGCGGCAGUCUGCGAAAAGCCCCGGGGAGCUGACAACGAGCUUUGAUCCGGGGGUCUCCGAAUGAGGGAACUCCAAGCUUUAGCUUGAUCCAUGCGUGAAUACAUAGCGCAUGGAGGCGAACGCGGCGAACUGAAACAUCUCAGUAGCUGCAGGAAAAGAAAUCAACCGAGAUUCCGGAAGUAGCGGCGAGCGAAACCGGAACAGCCUGAAUUCGAUAUUGAGAAGAACACUGGAAGAGUCUGGAAAGGCUCGCCAUAGUGGGUGAUAGCCCCGUACGGGACGUUCAUCUCAAGGUACUGAGGAUUCGAAAAGUAGGUCGGGGCACGUGAAACCCUGGCUGAACAUGGGGGGACCAUCCUCCAAGGCUAAAUACUCGUGAUCGACCGAUAGCGUACUAGUACUGUGAAGGAAAGGUGAAAAGAACCCCGGGAGGGGAGUGAAAUAGAUUCUGAAACCGCAUGCAUACAAACAGUAGGAGCCCUUCGGGGUGACUGCGUACCUUUUGCAUAAUGGGUCAGCGACUUAUGUUAUGUGGCAAGCCUAACCGAUUAGGGGAGGCGCAGCGAAAGCGAGUCCGAACAGGGCGAUUCAGUCGCAUGGCAUAGACCCGAAACCAGAUGAGCUAACCAUGGCCAGGCUGAAGGUGUGGUAACACACACUGGAGGGCCGAACCUACUGGUGUUGCAAAACCAGAGGAUGAGCUGUGGUUAGGGGUGAAAGGCUUAACAAAUCUGGAGAUAGCUGGUUCUCCCCGAAAACUAUUGAGGUAGUGCCUUGCGCAUGAGCUUCUGGGGGUAGAGCACUGUUAUAGCUAGGGGGACAUGGCGUCUUACCAAACUAUGGCAAACUCCGAAUACCAGAAAGCUUCGCGCAGGAGACAGAGCACCGGGUGCUAACGUCCGGACUCAAAAGGGAAUCAACCCAGACCGCCAGCUAAGGUCCCUAAUAUCAGCUAAGUGGAAAACGAAGUGGAAAGGCUAAAACAGUCAGGAAGUUGGCUUAGAAGCAGCCAUCCUUCAAAGAAAGCGUAAUAGCUCACUGAUCGAGUCCUUCCGCGCGGAAGAUGUAACGGGGCUAAGUUGAUAACCGAAGCUGCGGAUUCACACUUUGAGUGUGAGUGGUAGGGGAGCGUUCUGUAAGCCUGCGAAGGUGGAUCGUAAGGUCUGCUGGAGGUAUCAGAAGUGCGAAUGCUGACAUGAGUAACGAUAAAGCGGGUGAAAAGCCCGCUCGCCGCAAACCCAAGGUUUCCUGCUCUACGUUAAUCGGAGCAGGGUGAGUCGGUUCCUAAGGCCAGGCUGAGAAGCGUAGCUGAUGGAAAUCAGGUUAAUAUUCCUGAACCGGCGUUGAAUGCGAUGGGGUGACGGAGCAGCCAGAGUGGACCGGGUGUUGGAUGUCCCGGCUUCCGAGCGAUGGGUGCCUGCAGGCAAAUCCGCAGGCGUAUACCCAGGACGAAGGAUCGGGCCUUCUUUUGAAGGCGAAGCCACUGGAAGCGCUUCCAGGAAAAACCUCUAAGCUUCAGUUCAACGGCGACCGUACCGUAAACCGACACAGGUGGGUGAGCUGAAUAUGCUCAGGCGCUUGAGAGAACUCGGGAGAAGGAACUCGGCAAAUUGACCCCGUAACUUCGGAAGAAGGUGUGCCUUUGUAGCUUGAUGGGAGAGAAACCCAAAGGGCGAAGAGGUCUCAGAGAAUCGGUGGCUGUAACUGUUUACUAAAAACACAGCGCUCUGCAAAGAUGAAAGUCGACGUAUAGGGCGUGAUGCCUGCCCGGUGCUGGAAGAUUAAUUGAUGGGGUGCAAGCUCCUGAUCGAAGUCCCAGUAAACGGCGGCCGUAACUAUAACGGUCCUAAGGUAGCGAAAUUCCUUGUCGGGUAAGUUCCGACCUGCACGAAUGGCAUAAUAAUGGCCACACUGUCUCCUCCCGAGACUCAGUGAAAUUGAAAUGUUUGUGAUGAUGCAAUCUCCCCGCGGCUAGACGGAAAGACCCCAUGAACCUUAACUGUAGCUUUGCAUUGGACUUUGAACCGAUCUGUGUAGGAUAGGUGGGAGGCUUUGAAGAAUGGACGCCAGUUCAUUCGGAGCCGUCGUUGAAAUACCGCCCUGAUUUGUUUGAGGUUCUAACC